AGCAGCAGCUGAGCUCCCCGUGCAGUCUAGGGGUGAAGCUUGGGCCUGUGAGUGACAGCAGGACCACGGAGAAGGAGAGACUGGAGAUGGAGAGGCAGCCAGCACACUGCCUGCACGGCACUGUAACAUCUCAGGUGGAACCAUGGGUCAUACACAAAGGAAUCAAUUCUUAAAUAAAAGACUUUUCCCAGCAUUAUCAGCCCUUUGUGCUCUAGAAACAGCCAGCACUGUUAAUUUGGGUGAUUGAAUAGAGGACAAAAGGACAAAGCACAAACACCCUCCAUUCUAAAACUAAACAACGAAAAAAGCUGUAACGUGCCUCAAUUCCCAGGCUGGUUGCUAAAAAGAAAAUGAAGGGGGUAAAGAAAAAAAAAAGAGAGAAAAAAAAGCUAAUUUGUGUAUUUAUUUCUUUACUCCUACCUUUUCUAGU